UGUUGAAACACCGGUUCUUGUAUGAUCACCAAAGUUAAGUAAUGUCGAGCCAGGACAGUACCUAGAUGAGUGAACACUUGGGAAUACCAGAUACUGUA